GCACUCGCUUCGGAAGCACAUAUACUAAAACUGGAACGAUUCAGAGAAUAUUAGCAUGGCCCCUGUGCAAGGAUGACAUGCUAAUUCACAAAGCAUUCUAUAUUUUU